rnacentral:piRNA from 1 species
UCCAGGAGUGGGUCUGGUCUCAUCAGGGA